CCUUAUCAUCAUCACCAUCAUCAUAAUAAUCAUUAUCAACAACACAAUAAUUAUCAUAAUCAUUUUAUCAUCAUAAACCUUAUCAUCAUCACCAUCAUCAUCAUAAUAAUCAUUAUCAUCAACACAAUAAUUGGUUCCAAGUGAACCUUGGUGAGAUAUUACUCACCUAUAUAUUCCCGCUGCGUCUUCACCAAAAACACAACCAAAAGAGCCAAGCCAAUCACACCUCACAAGUCACCUAUAAUUACACAAUUAAUUAUCUUAGUAACCAAAGAACUUAUAGGAUAUCAAACACCCUUAAACUAACCCAUAGCCCCAAGGAGGACAACCUUCCAAGGUCGUCGAACUUAACGACUAAAUAAAGCUGCCUCCAAUCCUUAAAACCUAAACUUAAACCUCACAUAAGCCUAAGCUUAAACUUAAUGUCCUAACAUGCAAUCCUUGCUCACAACCUAAAAUUUCCACAACUCAACAAGCUCACAAUAACAAGAGCUAGCUAAGACCGAAACCUAGAGCUAGGAAACUGCCGGACGCGUUGCCACGCGCCACCACAUAAGCCACCACAUAAACCUUCCAAGGUCGUCGAACUUAACGACUAAAUAAGGCUGCCUCCAAUCCUUAAAACCUAAACUUAAACCUCACAUAAGCCUAAGCUUAAACUUAAUGUCCUAACAUGCAAUCCUUACUCACAACCUAAAAUUUCCACAACUCAACAAGCUCACAAUAACAAAAGAUAGCUAACACCGAAACCUAGAGCUAGGAAACUGCCGGACGCGUUGCCACGCGCCACCACAGGUGGCGGAGAGUGGGCCCCACGCGUCACCCCAACAACUUCAAAAUCUGGACAAACUUCCAACAGCAAACUAGUAGAUUGAAGCAAGGGGAGCAUCUUUUAUACCUGAAGGUUGAACCCAUUUGGCCGGAAUCGGCCGGAAUCGUCCAAAAGAAAACCGGCUGCCAAGAAGACUUCAAUCAGAUUCUAGACCUCAAAACGAGGUAAAUGGCAGCUCAAAUCGUGCUUAGAGGGAAGAGACUUCAAGGAAAAGAAGCACUCACGAGGUCGGGGUUCACCAGCAAAGCCCGAACUCCGGUGAGCAACUCGGCAGCGUUCUCCUCCAACUGAAGGCUUCGUCUCCGGCUUGAAACACGGCAUCGCACCACCAUAGGCGGAGAGAGGGUGGCCGUGCGAUCCUAAAGCAACCGUUGGCGGCCAAAACAGCGGCCGGAAGUGGGAGGACUGAGCCGGAGAAGAGAGGGCGCACGGGAUGGUCGGGAGAGAAGAGAGAGAGAGAGAGAGAGAGAGAGAGAGAGAGAGUGGUUNNNNNNNNNNNNNNNNNNNNAGAGAGAGAGAGAGAGUUGGGGUUUUCUGAAAAUUA
rnacentral:lncRNA from 1 species